UCUCUGAUGUUAGCGGCGGACGGGUGAGUAACACGUGGAUAACCUACCUAUAAGACUGGGAUAACUUCGGGAAACCGGAGCUAAUACCGGAUAAUAUUUUGAACCGCAUGGUUCAAAAGUGAAAGACGGUCUUGCUGUCACUUAUAGAUGGAUCCGCGCUGCAUUAGCUAGUUGGUAAGGUAACGGCUUACCAAGGCAACGAUGCAUAGCCGACCUGAGAGGGUGAUCGGCCACACUGGAACUGAGACACGGUCCAGACUCCUACGGGAGGCAGCAGUAGGGAAUCUUCCGCAAUGGGCGAAAGCCUGACGGAGCAACGCCGCGUGAGUGAUGAAGGUCUUCGGAUCGUAAAACUCUGUUAUUAGGGAAGAACAUAUGUGUAAGUAACUGUGCACAUCUUGACGGUACCUAAUCAGAAAGCCACGGCUAACUACGUGCCAGCAGCCGCGGUAAUACGUAGGUGGCAAGCGUUAUCCGGAAUUAUUGGGCGUAAAGCGCGCGUAGGCGGUUUUUUAAGUCUGAUGUGAAAGCCCACGGCUCAACCGUGGAGGGUCAUUGGAAACUGGAAAACUUGAGUGCAGAAGAGGAAAGUGGAAUUCCAUGUGUAGCGGUGAAAUGCGCAGAGAUAUGGAGGAACACCAGUGGCGAAGGCGACUUUCUGGUCUGUAACUGACGCUGAUGUGCGAAAGCGUGGGGAUCAAACAGGAUUAGAUACCCUGGUAGUCCACGCCGUAAACGAUGAGUGCUAAGUGUUAGGGGGUUUCCGCCCCUUAGUGCUGCAGCUAACGCAUUAAGCACUCCGCCUGGGGAGUACGACCGCAAGGUUGAAACUCAAAGGAAUUGACGGGGACCCGCACAAGCGGUGGAGCAUGUGGUUUAAUUCGAAGCAACGCGAAGAACCUUACCAAAUCUUGACAUCCUUUGACAACUCUAGAGAUAGAGCCUUCCCCUUCGGGGGACAAAGUGACAGGUGGUGCAUGGUUGUCGUCAGCUCGUGUCGUGAGAUGUUGGGUUAAGUCCCGCAACGAGCGCAACCCUUAAGCUUAGUUGCCAUCAUUAAGUUGGGCACUCUAAGUUGACUGCCGGUGACAAACCGGAGGAAGGUGGGGAUGACGUCAAAUCAUCAUGCCCCUUAUGAUUUGGGCUACACACGUGCUACAAUGGACAAUACAAAGGGCAGCGAAACCGCGAGGUCAAGCAAAUCCCAUAAAGUUGUUCUCAGUUCGGAUUGUAGUCUGCAACUCGACUACAUGAAGCUGGAAUCGCUAGUAAUCGUAGAUCAGCAUGCUACGGUGAAUACGUUCCCGGGUCUUGUACACACCGCCCGUCACACCACGAGAGUUUGUAACACCCGAAGCCGGUGGAGUAACCUUUUAGGAGCUAGCCGUCGAAGGUGGGACAAAUGAUUGGGGUGAAGUCGUAACAAGGUAGCCGUAUCGGAAGGUGCGGCUG
rnacentral:rRNA from 2 species